rnacentral:rRNA from 1 species
UACAGAGGUCUCAAGCGUUGUUCGGAUUCAUUGGGCGUAAAGGGUGCGUAGGCGGCGCGGUAAGUCGGGUGUGAAAUCUUGGAGCUUAACUCCGAAACUGCAUUCGAUACUGCCGUGCUUGAGGACUGGAGAGGAGACUGGAAUUUACGGUGUAGCGGUGAAAUGCAUAGAUAUCGUAAGGAAGACCAGUGCGAAGGCGAGUUUCUGGACAGUAACUGACGCUGAGGCACGAAGGCCAGGGAGCAAACGGG